GCUGGAGAAGAUUGAGCAAGAGACGUGGAGGGAGACGGGAAUCUCCUUUGUCACCUCUGUCACACGGUUGAUGGAACGUCUGCUGGACUACAGGGACUGCAUGAAAGGAGACGAGACAGAGAACAAGAAGAUUGGCUGUACUGUCAACCUGUUGAACUUCUACAAGUCAGAGAUCAACAAGGAGGAGAUGUACAUCCGCUAUAUCCACAAGCUGUGUGACAUGCACCUUCAGGCUGACAACUACACAGAGGCUGCGUUCACCCUGCUGUUGUACUGGGAGCUACUGCA